rnacentral:misc_RNA from 1 species
GAGUAGCUUUGGACCUGUGUCUACUGGUAGAACCCUCGUUGUACUUUGGUCGGCUACCGGUGUCGUGUCCUGUCACAUUUUGAGGCAUUGUCCUGAAGAUUGAAAUAUUGGCUUGCAUUCUAGUACCCGACCUAUGGGAAGUGGUGCUUUGAAUAAUUGUUGCCCCACGGUGGACGCCCUUUGGGUGUGCCAUUGUGACGGAAUAGCGUUUGUGGCGUUGCCUUGUACAACAGUUAUAUAAUGUGCUUGUUGAUAUCAAGGCAAUCUCACUCUCGCUUUUGGUCUAGGAUGUUGCUGACGAUAAAGGCUCGAGGCCCUUUGGGUUGCCUUGAUCCGACUCAAUGCUCUCUCUGAAAUGGCGAUUACUAGACAUGUUUUACCUAUAGCUUUCCACGGUUCCGUGGUUGGUUUAGUGUUCUUAUGCUCUGGUGGCCCUCAUUGACGAAGAGCCAUGCCCGCUCAAAAGCGACAACUGGCUCAGUUGCUGUGUUUGCCUUUCCACGCAAGUGGAAUAGUAAGACAACUUCCUGAUGCUGGACGUCACUGAGGACGUGCU